rnacentral:rRNA from 1 species
UACAGAGGUCCCAAGCGUUGUUCGGAUUCACUGGGCGUAAAGGGUGCGCAGGCGGCGUGGUAAGUCGGAUGUGAAAUCUCGGAGCUUAACUCCGAAACUGCAUUCGAUACUGCCGUGCUUGAGGACUGGAGAGGAGACUGGAAUUUACGGUGUAGCGGUGAAAUGCGUAGAUAUCGUAAGGAAGACCAGUGGCGAAGGCGGGUCUCUGGACAGUUCCUGACGCUGGAGGCACGAAGGCCAGGGGAGCAAACGGG